GUUUAACANAAACAUGUCUGUAUGUAGGUAUAUAGAGUCUGGCCUGCCCAUUGAAUAAAAUUAAAGGCCGCGGUAUAUUAACUGUGCAAAGGUAGCAUAAUCAUUAGUUUUUUAAUUGAAGGCUUGUAUGAAGGGUUGGACAAAGAAUAAGCUGUCUUUAUUUUUGUUUUUGAAUUUGUCUUUUAAGUGAAAAGGCUUAAAUGAAUUUAAGGGACGAUAAGACCCUAUAAAUCUUUAUAUUAUGUUGUUUUUAUAUUAAUUUUUAAAUGUAAAUGAAAAUAAAAAUAUAAAAUAUUGUGUUGGGGUGAUAAGAAUAAAAAAAAACUGUUCUAAAUUAUAAACAAAGUUGUUUGAAGUAAAAGAUAGUAGAUCCUUUUUAGAGAUUAAAAGUUUAAGUUACUUUAGGGAUAACAGCGUUAUUUUUUUUGAGAGUUCUAAUCGAAAAAAAAGUUUGCGACCUCGAUGUUGAAUUAAAAUUUCUUUAAGGUGUAGCCGCUUUAAGAGAGAGUCUGUUCGACUUUUAAAAUUUUACAUGAUCUGAGU
rnacentral:rRNA from 1 species